AUUGAACGCUGGCGGCAGGCCUAACACAUGCAAGUCGAGCGAGCGGCUGACGGGUGGGUAAUGUCUGGGAAACUGCCUGAUGUUGGGGCUUAACUACUUGAAACGGUAGCUAAUACCUCCUACCAUCAGAUUUGCCCGGCUGUGAUUGGCUAGUGGGUGGGGUAACGGCUCACCUAGGCGACGAUCCCUAGCUGGUCUGAGAGGAUGACCAGCCACACUGGAACUGAGACACGGUCCAGACUCCUACGGGAGGCAGCAGUGGGGAAUAUUGCACAAUGGGCGAAAGCCUGAUGCAGCAAUGCCGCGUGUGUGAAGAAGGCCUUCGGGUUGUAAAGCACUUUCAGCGGGGAGGCGUUACCCGCAGAAGAAGCACCGGCUAACUCCGUGCCAGCAGCCGCGGUAAUUC
rnacentral:rRNA from 1 species